rnacentral:rRNA from 1 species
UACGUAUGGGGCAAGCGUUAUCCGGAUUUACUGGGUGUAAAGGGAGCGUAGGCGGCCUGGCAAGCCUGAUGUGAAAUACCGGGGCCCAACCCCGGGGCUGCAUUGGGAACUGCCAGGCUGGAGUGCCGGAGAGGCAGGCGGAAUUCCUAGUGUAGCGGUGAAAUGCGUAGAUAUUAGGAGGAACACCAGUGGCGAAGGCGGCCUGCUGGACGGUGACUGACGCUGAGGCUCGAAAGCGUGGGGGGCAAACAGG